ACACCGGCCGCUCAAGUGGUAGCCGCUUUUAUUGAGCCUAAAGCGUCCGUAGCCGGUCUGAUAAGUCUCUGGUGAAAUCCCACAGCUUAACUGUGGGAAUUGCUGGAGAUACUAUCAUGACUCGAGGUCGGGAGAGGCUGGAGGUACUCCCAGGGUAGGGGGGAAAUCCUGUAAUCCUGGGAGGACCACCUGUGGCGAAGGCGUCCAGCUGGAACGAACCUGACGGUGAGGGACGAAAGCCAGGGGCGCGAACCGGAUUAGAUACCCGGGUAGUCCUGGCCGUAAACGAUGUGGACUUGGUGUUGGGAUGGCUUCGAGCUGCCCCAGUGCCGAAGGGAAGCUGUUAAGUCCACCGCCUGGGAAGUACGGCCGCAAGGCUGAAACUUAAAGGAAUUGGCGGGG
rnacentral:rRNA from 1 species